UCUCGGCGACGCCUUGGGGCUCUUGGCGCUCCCUUUGCCUUUCACUGCCUUCUUCCUGGACAUGGUGACUGUUAUAACCUGUUAAGCUCCGAGCAAUUAAGGUCGAAGAAUUAGGAAAAGCAGACACCAUCAAUUUGAAAGCUGAAUCACUCUGCCCAGUAUCCAGACCGCUCAGUUAUGGAUGAUGCACACGUGCAAGCAGGCGUUCAGCAGGCUUGAUGUAUGACGUGGGACUUAAAGCUGGGGAGGUGAGAGCUGCUGGACCUCCAGAAGGUAAACCUCCACAGAAACGUUUUUAGGUCUUAUUUGAUUUGAAUUGUAUUGCUUGGAAUGGUUUUCAACUGA